AAGUUGGAAUUUGAUUGACU
rnacentral:miRNA from 1 species